UACGGAGGGGGCGAGCGUUAUUCGGAAUUAUUGGGCGUAAAGGGCGCGUAGGCGGCCCGGUAAGUCAAAGGUGAAAUCCCUCGGCUCAACUGAGGAACUGCCUUUGAAACUGUUUGGCUUGAGUCCGGGAGGGGGUAGCGGAAUUCCCAGUGUAGCGGUGAAAUGCGUAGAUAUUGGGAGGAACACCAGUGGCGAAGGCGGCUACCUGGACCGGAACUGACGCUGAUGCGCGAAAGCGUGGGUAGCAAACAGG
rnacentral:rRNA from 1 species